AGCUGAUUUCCUGAAGCUCUGAGUGCGCCCAAUUUCAUCUGAUCUCAGAAGCUAAGCAGGGUCGGGCCUGGUUAGUACUUGGAUGGGAGACCACCUGGGCACAGAUUUACAAAGUUUGCUU
rfam:Mesocricetus auratus contig133890, whole genome shotgun sequence.